rnacentral:lncRNA from 1 species
UGUGCCCUCAUAUCUUUCAGUACACAAUUACCCUCAUUUCAAUCACUAGAAUUCUUCACACAAAACUGCCAUUCAUAUUAUGGUGUUUCACACAAACACAGACUCAUUCUCUCUACUGAACUACAAUCAGAUUUCAGCAUUCAAUCUUUCUUCUUCUCAAAUAAUACCAAUCACAUUUUUAUUCCAUAAUUCACUUCACAAUAUUCAAAAACUCUCAAUCCUCUUAUUGAAAGAAAAUAACAAACAAAAGAAAAGAGGUAGCACCAAGCUUAUCCUAGCUUACAACUAUCACAGCUGUGGCACCUUAAUUAACUUCUACAACUCCUAUAUACUUUCCUUUGAUUCUCUAGAUUCUAAUCGUAAUUCUGUAAUUAACCACUUUUAAUAACUAAAUCACUCAUCCGUCUUCUUGAAUUUCCUAUUAUAUAGACUAUUAAUAUAUUUUAUUAAUAUCUUUCAAAAACAAAUUAAUAUAUAUUCUAUAUAGUCCCACUCCUAUCUGUGCAGCGUCCUCGCAAAUACUCAAUUGAUACCUAUCUAAAAAUUAUCUAACAAAACUCUACAAAAAUUGCGACUCCUCUGGCCUAUUUAAUUAAUCAAUUGCUGCAUUAUCGAAUGUAGGUUCGACCAAAUCUGGUUCCAAUUGCACAUCUUCUUCUUCUUUUUCCAGUCCAUCGACUCCUUUCUCAACUAGUUUGAAAGAUUUUCAUUAUAUUCAUCCAAUACAAGGACUUGAGCUUCCAAUUUCAGGAUGUGGAUAUCUCAAAGUUUCAAUUGUUGUUGCUGCUGACUCAUCCAUUCUGGAAUAUCUUCAAUCGACACUUGUGAUCGACUCCUCACUAUUAACUCUUAACUGGAACUACUACUCUCAAAAAUACAAGAAAUAUAAGAAAAUGGUAUUCUAAUCAACCCAAAACAAUACCACAGAAUGACUUUAACUAGUGCCCCACUCCUAUUUUUUUAUUACUUGGUGAUAAUGACAACAGGUUACCCAUACUAUCCGUGAAAGGUAAUGAGAAGUAAUCUUUCUUGGUGGCCGCAUUUAACUUUUAAAAAUCUUAACAUAUCCUGAUUUUUCCAUUCUUCUUCGACACCAUCACAAUUGACGACACCCAUGCAUUAUACGAAAUAGGAUAAAUAAAACCCACGUCGAGAAGUUUAUCCAAUUCUUCUUUCACUAAAAGUAAAUAUUUUGGGUUAAGUCGGUAUUGUCUUUGACAAACUGGCGUAACACCCUCUUCCAAAAUAAUCUGGUGCUCACACACGUCAACCGAAAUCCCUUUCAAAUCCGCAUACGACCAUGCAAAUGUAGAUUUGUGAUGGACAAAAAAUUGUUCUCAAACAUCUAAUUCUGUACGGAUAAUACUGGCAUAUAUUUUAAUUAGUUGUGGCGUUUCGUUGGUGCCCAGGUUAAUAGAUUGACACACAGGGUCUUCAACAACCUCUGAUUUAAUUGUCUUCUCUUGAUCUGAAUAUCUUGUAUUAUCCGACAUAUGAAAACCAUCCAAAUCUGGUUCCAAUGUGCUGAUUCUAUUGACUAUGGAAUUGUUCAUCCAUUCGGUAAUAGCAUAACCCAAGUUAGUCGCAUCUUCCUGAGGUAGUAAAUAUUCGCCGGGACCUCCACAUUGGUAGAUUCUUGCCUUUGCUGUUGAAGUGUUUUGUCCUACUCCAAAUUGCGGUGAACCUAUAGCAUCGUCAUCUAUCUCAAUCGAUUGACUCUCGUUGUCCGAUGUAAAUUCUGAUUCUGACAAUUGAGAUUCUUCAUGAUAUUGUACUGGGUACAUCUGUAAAACAAUCUGGUCAUGACCUUUUCUAAUUGUCAAUGUGCCUCGGCUCCAAUCGUUCUUAGCUUUUGCUUGAUAAAGCCAAGGUCUGUCCAAUAAAAUGAAAUAUGAUAACGUAGAACUCUAUAACCGAAAGACCAUAUAGUCGAUUUCAUAUGCAAUACCGGCAAUCAUAGUUUGAACAUUCCAUAAAAUAUCCAUUGAUUUAAUCAGGCUAUGAUCUGCCAUCCAUAAUACCAAUGUUGUAGGUAGCAAUUGCUUUAGAUUCAAGUACUCUAUUGUAUCCGCGUUCAUUAAAUUCACAUUGGAGCCACCAUCGACUUGUACCCCUGGAAUUAAAAUGCCAUCGAUUGAUACAUCGAUUGUUGGUACUCCCGGAUCUGGAUUUAAGCUAACUUCAUGAAUUUCUUUAGUACAGGAUCUUCAUCGUAUUAACGUUGAAUUCAAUAUAGAUCGACAUUCCGGUGCUAUAGUCAAAAGUUGCUUUAUUAUAAUUGAAGGCUGAAUAACAUCCAAAUCCUUCAAAAUGUCAUAGGAUUCCAUAUUGAGAGUAAUUCCCAAUGCUCUUUUACGUUUCAUUGGUUUCGAUUUUAUUCUGUUUGGUAGCAAUUCCUUCUUGGCAAUUGAGAUUACCGCUAAUAACUUUGCCAACUUUUCUACCACUAAAGGUUCCUUUAAUACAUAAGAUCUUUUAUUGGGCUCUACAGGUAUUGAUAGUUGGUCAGUUGGGAUCGAUCUUGAUGGUCUCAACAAAUUGGCACGUGGAACCAAAUUAGGUUCCUCAGUCUCUUGAAGUCUCAAUAUUGGGAUACAUCCCAAUACUAAUAUUGGUUCAUUUAGCCCCGUAGACGAUGCUACUUACUCUCUUGUAUUUGGUUCAUCCAGGUCCUGAAUUAGAUUCUUGUCUUUUUGUUGGCCUCUGGUAAGCACUGCAUUCACUACCUUGACACAAUAUAUUGAUGAGUCUCGUUGAACAGGGCCUUUGUUCUCCGUCGAUUGGCUUGUUUGCUUUUGCUGGUCCCAGUUAUUAUAAUUAAAGGGCGCAUUGCACUGUUGAUAAGUGUGACCAAACUCCUUACAAUUUCCACAUAUUAGAGCAUAGUCAUCAUUGGCCCUUGAAUUAGGACAUUCACUCGCAUAAUAUCUGAUUUGUUUGCAAUGAUAGCAACGAAGUGGUCUCCUACCAACUCCUUCAGGGAUAAUGGGUGUCUCUACUGGUAUAUAACGGCUAGGUCUGUUCCAUGUCGAAUGAAUAAAGGAUCUUGGUUGAUCCAUUGUUACUGUAGACUUUGGCAUUGGCUUCGUCAUGGGUGGAUAUUGAUGGUAUCCUGGUUGGUUCAUUGCCAAUCCAUGAGUAUUGAAUAUACCUUCUUGGUGAAAUUCAGAGUUUAGGAAAUUGGAAUAAUUCCUGUUUUUUUUAUUCGCUUGAUUUCUAUUUCAACCAAACCUAUUUCCCGUUUAUACUUGAUUGACGUCUCAUUAGGUUGAUUGAAUCAUUAUCUGGUUAUUGAGUUGUUGUUGCUUCCGUAAAUUCUAACAGUUGGUGGUAAUAUGCUUGCCCCCACGAAAGGUACAUUGUACAGUCAUUUGGGGUAGUAAAGGACAUUCUGUUACCAAAUGACCUUGCCCCUUACAAUUGCUACACCAAACAUAGGUCCUAGUAUUGGUAGGCUUUUAUCUCUUCUUCUUAUCUUUGGUCAUAUUGAUGGCCAUUUCUUCCAUUUUCUUUGUCAAAUUCAAUAACAAGGUUUCAUUGAAAUCUUUUAGGGCUGGCAUUAUUGGUAUCUGUGCCAUAAAUAAUGCUUGUUGUUGAUAUGGAAAAUAUGGAGUAUACGUUGUUAUCAUGUUUGGUGGUAUAGCUUGUAAUGGGGUGAUAUUAACUGGCCCUUGAAUAUUGAUGUUGGAAUUGGCCCUUAUUUCUAACAUUCGUAGAUAACUACCCACUGAUUCGUUCCAAGUUAGAUUUUGAUAUCUACCUUGAACUGGAAUCAUCGUAGCUCCUGCAGUUAAAAACUGAUCAUAAUGGCAUUCCUCUCAAACCUUGGCUCUGUUAAGGGUCACAACCACCGUAACAGGUUGAGCUUCCUUUACAAAUAUUUUUAGCUUUGGUAGAUGCAAACCAUUGAUUAAUAUGGAUAAGAUAAAUACCUCCGGUAUUUGGUGAUUCAGCCACUUACUGAGUAUAUCAACCACUCGGCCAUAGUACGAUUCCACCACUUCCCCUAGGAUCAUUUUGCUAUUCAUUAACCUCUCUCAAAGGCGGUCUUCAAAACCAAUUGGCCAAAAAUGAGAUAAAAAUAUAUUCUUCAAUGUUUCCCAAUUCGGAAAUUGACCCACUGGUUGGCGGUUGUACCAUUCAAAUGUCAUGUCUUUUAAGGUCACUGGCAGCUAUCACAACCAAAUAUCUUCAGUUCUACCAUUAUUAGCUACACAUGCUGUAAGAAACUGAGAUAAAUGUUGAUCGAGAUUUACACCCAAAAAUCCCCAAAAAGUAGGUAGUAGUGCGACACUAGUCGUAUGAUCACCUACUGCACCCAUUUGUACUGCAAUCGUAAUGGCUGGUCCUCCUGAUGCCAUUGAAUUUCUUGUUCCGCUAAACUCCAUUUUAAAAUAAUCUCUGCUUUUCCUUAUUCUAAUUUCGAAGCUCUCAAUGCUCUUCGAUUUACUGUUAUUUUCUACAAAUAGUUUUAUUGAUUGAAUUGCAAGUGAAAACGUCAAAUUUUGAAAUACAAUAUAGUCAUCUUUAUUGGCGACCAAUUUAUGCUAAUUUGAAGAGUCACUAUUACUCGUUUCAGCGGUACCUCCUACCGAAAAAAUACCCAAUGGAAUACCAAAUUCUUCUACGCCUCCUUCUCUUUCAGUUAACAACUUCAAGAUUUCUACUAGAAUGUUAACAAAAUUUUCUGCGAGUGUUCUUGGCAGUUUUUCUAAUGGUACAUACAACUGCAGAAUUAACAGUCUAUCCGGUUUUGGAUAUGUUCAAAUGCGUCGAUAAGCUUGCAACCAUGGUUUAAUCUAAUUUUGUCGAUGCUUCCUUUUAAGAUUACGUCCUUGCUCCUCUCUAAGCAAGUUCCUUCCUUGCGCUCUUCCCUGUCUUUCUCUCAACUGAUUUAUUUUCCUUGAUGUAAUGCUCUCGUUCUUAUUAACCAUAAUCUUACUUCAAACACUACGGAAAACAUCUUCCAUUGCUAAUUUUCUCACACGUUUGGUAAUUAAUUCCUAACACUCAAAGCUAUUAUCACUCCCCGGCAGCGGCACCAAAAUGUGAUUGCUCAUUUUACUUAUUCCAAAUUAAUCUAAUGGGAAUAAACUUGUAUAGGGAGAUUUGAACACUGAGAAUGAUUAGUUGCUUAAGCGUUCACGUUAGGGUCAUACAAUCAAUUACCUCUUGAAUGUAUCAUCUCUAUUUCUAAUAUCUGAUUAUACAAGGAAACUAUAAUCUCCUCCUUCACCUUAUCGGUCUCUUUCUUACAGCAAUUCAGCCAUACCAAUAACUGUUAUUUCCACCAAUAUAUUCACCCUCAUAAUCUCAAACUGUAAUACUGUGCCCUCAUAUCUUUCAGUACACAAUUACCCUCAUUUCAAUCACUAGAAUUCUUCACACAAAAUUGCCAUUCAUAUUAUGGUGUUUCACACAAACACAGACUCAUUCUCUCUACUGAACUACAAUCAGAUUUCAGCAUUCAAUCUUUCUUCUUCUCAAAUAAUACCAAUCACAUUUCUAUUCCAUAAUUCACUUCACAAUAUUCAGAAACUCUCAAUCCUCUUAUUGAAAGAAAAUAACAAACAAAAGAAAAGAGGUAGCACCAAGCUUACCCCAGCUUACAACUAUCACAACUAUGGCACCUUAAUUAACUUCUACAACUCCUAUAUACUUUCACUUGAUUCUCUAGAUUCUAAUCGUAAUUCUGUAAUUAACCACUUUUAAUAACUAAAUCACUCAUCCGUCCUCCUGAAUUUCCUAUUAUAU